rnacentral:rRNA from 1 species
GGAGUUUGGACCGUGUCUCAGUUCCAAUGUGGGGGACCUUCCUCUCAGAACCCCUACUGAUCGUCGACUCGGUGGGCCGUUACCCCGCCGACUAUCUAAUCAGACGCAUCCCCAUCCUAUAGCGGUGAACCUUUGUUCCAUUUUAGAUGUCUGCAUUGGAAAACAUAGAGUAUUAAUCCGACUUUCGCCGGGCUAUCCUCUACUAUAGGGAAGGUUGGAUACGCGUUACUCACCCGUGCGCCGGUCGCCAUCAUUGGUUGCAAGCAACCAACAUGCUGCCCCUCGACUUGCAUGUGUUAAGCCUGUAGCUAGCGUUCAUC